CAAUAGCAUAUAUUAACGUUGUUGCAGUUGAAAAGCUCGUAGUUGAACUUUUGGUAGGAGCGACCUGGCCUUGGGCGCAUGCCCUUGUUUGCCGUGUGUCGUAUCUGGCCAUCCUUUUCUUCUUUUUGGAAGGAAUCUUUUACUGUGAGUAAACUGGAGUGCUCAAAACAAGACGUUUGUUUGGUACAUUAAAGCAUGGAAUAAUAAGAUAGGACCUGGUUACUAUUUUGUUGGUUUGCAUAGCUAGGUAAUGAUUAACAGGGACAGUUGGGGGUAUUCGUAUUUAAUUGUCAGGGGUGAAAUUCUUGGAUUUAUGAAAGACGAACGACUGCGAAAGCAUUUACCAAGGAUGUUUUCAUUAA
rnacentral:rRNA from 1 species